rnacentral:rRNA from 1 species
GUAGGUGGCAAGCGUUGUCCGGAAUUAUUGGGCGUAAAGCGCGCGCAGGCGGGGUCCUUUAAAGUCUGAUGUGAAAGCCCACGGGCUCAACCGUGGAGGGUCAUUGGAAACUGGGGGACUUGAGUACAGAAGAGGAAAGCGGAAUUCCAAGUGUAGCGGUGAAAUGCGUAGAGAUUUGGAGGAACACCAGUGGCGAAGGCGGCUUUCUGGUCUGUAACUGACGCUGAGGCGCGAAAGCGUGGGGAGCAAACAGGAUUAGAUACCCUGGUAGUCCACGCCGUAAACGAUGAGUGCUAAGUGUUAGGGGGUUUCCGCCCCUUAGUGCUGCAGCUAACGCAUUAAGCACUCCGCCUGGGGAGUACGGCCGCAAAGGCUG